UGAUAAAAACAUAUAAACUUGCCACAAAAUGGUUAAAACUAAUUACUAAGGACCUUAAUGAAUUAAUUGGGUUAAAUGAAUAUGAUUACUACUCAAAGGUACUUAAAACCAUUAUAAUUAGGUUUACAAAAUAGCACUUUUUGGUAGUAAUCAAUAGUCAACAUGCAAAAACUUUUCUUCCAACUUUGCUUUCAUCUCAACCCAUGUAUCGAUCCAUGGACCUCCCUUUCUUUCAUGAGUGCAAAC
rnacentral:lncRNA from 1 species